UACGAAGGGGGCUAGCGUUGCUCGGAAUCACUGGGCGUAAAGGGCUCGUAGGCGGCCAACUAAGUCGGACGUGAAAUCCCCAGGCUCAACCUGGGAACUGCGUCCGAUACUGGAUGGCUUGAAUCCGGGAGAGGGAUGCAGAAUUCCAGGUGUAGCGGUGAAAUGCGCAGAUAUCGGGAGGAACACCAGUAGCGAAGGCGGCUCGCUGGGCCAUUCCUGACGCUGAGACGCGAAAGCUAGGGAGGCGAACAGG
rnacentral:rRNA from 1 species